UACGAGGGGGGCGAGCGUUGUUCGGAAUUAUUGGGCGUAAAGGGUGCGUAGGCGGUUUGGUAAGUCUUAUGUGAAAUCUACAGGCUCAACUUGUAGUCUGCAUGAGAAACUGCCGGGCUUGAGUAUGGGAGAGGUGAGUGGAAUUCCUGGUGUAGCGGUGAAAUGCGUAGAUAUCAGGAGGAACACCUGUGGCGAAAGCGGCUCACUGGACCAUAACUGACGCUGAGGAGCGAAAGCGUGGGGAGCGAACAGG
rnacentral:rRNA from 1 species